rnacentral:lncRNA from 1 species
UGACUUGCUGACAUCAAAGCUGGCAAAAUCUUAAACAACUACAUGCCAUUUUAGUCUUAAACAAAACAAAGAAAGCAGAUGUGUGACUGUAAGGUAUGCAUUCAUUACCCAGCUCAUUAUGAACUUGCAACCAAAUAUAUGGUUCAGUAGGAUGUUCAUAAGAUUUGUCAAUAUGUUAGAGCUAACUAUUCUGUGCAUCAAGCUAUGCAUAUACAGCAAUAAAAAACAUUCCUUUUGUGCAUAAGAAGUUAAGCCAAUGAUGUAUCUCAUAGUACUUACUAUGUAAAUUAGAAACUACUUGAUAUACUGUAUGCACAAGAUGCCAUCAAUUUCAGAAUAAAAAAAUAGAGUGCAUUGUAGCACGUCCUUGCAUCUGAACCAAUCUGAUAUCAGAAGUACUUACUAUGUAAAUUAGAACUUGAUAUAUUGUAUGCACAAGAUGCCAUCAAUUUCAGAAUAAAAAAUAGAGUGCAUUGUAGCACGUCCUUGCAUCUGAACCAAUCUGAUAUCAGAAAAAGGC